CCUACGGGAGGCAGCAGUGGGGAAUAUUGCACAAUGGGCGAAAGCCUGAUGCAGCAACGCCGCGUGAGGGAUGACGGCCUUCGGGUUGUAAACCUCUUUUAGUAGGGAAGAAGCGAAAGUGACGGUACCUGCAGAAAAAGCACCGGCUAACUACGUGCCAGCAGCCGCGGUAAUACGUAGGGUGCAAGCGUUGUCCGGAAUUAUUGGGCGUAAAGAGCUCGUAGGCGGUUUGUCGCGUCUGCUGUGAAAUCCCGAGGCUCAACCUCGGGCUUGCAGUGGGUACGGGCAGACUAGAGUGCGGUAGGGGAGAUUGGAAUUCCUGGUGUAGCGGUGGAAUGCGCAGAUAUCAGGAGGAACACCGAUGGCGAAGGCAGAUCUCUGGGCCGUAACUGACGCUGAGGAGCGAAAGCGUGGGGAGCGAACAGGAUUAGAUACCCUAGUAGUCC
rnacentral:rRNA from 1 species